UAAAUUGCCGAGGGGUGGUUCCGAACGGAGCCUGAGAUUAAACCCGCUGAACCUGAUCUGGGUAAUGCCAGCGAAGGGAUCCAUGGCGCACAAUCAC
rnacentral:ncRNA from 2 species